rnacentral:tRNA from 1 species
GGCAUCGUGGCUGAAUUGGAUAGGCUAGGCCUCGCAAAGGCUUACAUAGUGGUUCGAGUCCACUCGAUGCCU